CUCUCUCUCUCUCUCUCUCUCUCUCUCUCUCUCUUUGGCAAUGGUAUGUCAACACCCACUUCUGGUACUGUUUCUGCAACCACCGUGGAGAUUUCGAAGCCUGCUUCUGUUUAUGUAAAGGAGGUGCCGACUAAAUCUCCAACGAAAAGGGCCUCUGUGUCUGAUAAUGGAGGAGACGAGACUGACUUGCCAAUCACCACAACGGCAAUCAUUGUUUGAGAUGCUAAGUGAGUUAAUGGAUUUUGGGAUUUGAAACAAUUCGAAAAAGAAGGCAAAACAGAGUGGGUAAUGGUUGCUGGUUAGAUCCACUAAAGCUCGAAUCUUUAUUUCAGUUAUGCAUUCAUGUUAUAGGCAAAGAGGAAAAAGUGGCUUCAAAAAAAGAGAACAGAGUCCGGUUGGCGUCUUCACAGAGAAAAAUAGUAGGUGGAUCGAGCAUGUGCCGGGAUCGUUUGGCACCAGCGCCAGCUUCACUCUUCGUUCCGGCCAAGUCAUAUUCUCCUCCGCUUCUCUCAUCUUCAUGUGCUUGGAUUACGACUUCUAUGACUUCACUACCUUCUGCGCCUGGGAUGGCUCAAAAACGGCUGAGGAAGAGCGAACAAGGGUCGUCGAGAUCAGUCCCAAAAGUAAAAGGAUGAUGCUCUAACUUGAUACCCAAUUCAGGCAACCUCAAGGCUUCAUCAACUUGGCCUGAUGAUGAUGAGUAAGGAAGAAUCUUGGAAGAUGAAUAAGAAGCAACUGUCUUUAUACCUCUUUAUCAGAAGAGUUAUGGAGAAUUCUAGCGUGUCUCUUUAGUCCACUACUCCAGAAGCUCUUCACAUCCUUAUCCGUUCUUCCUGGUCGUGUGAAACUUGGUUACGUCACGACCAGUGGUACCUACGUUGCUGUUAGAAUCAUAGACAAGGCUCUGGUUAUCCAAAAGGGUCUGCAGUCUCAAGUCCAGAGAGAGAUACAUACCAUGAAGCUUCUAAACCAUCCCAACAUCAUGCAGAUACCCGAGGUGAUUGGAACCAAGACAAAUAUCUGUAUUGUGAUGGAAUAUGUUGCAGGUGGUCAGCUUUUAGACAAACUUUCAGAUGCCAGAAAGCUUUUCCAACAGUUGAUUGAUGCUGUUGAUUACUACCAUAACAGAGGAGUUUACCACAAAGAUCUUAAGGUUAAGAGAAGAGAUGAACUUUUAUAAAAUUAUGGAAACUCCCUGUUUUUCUAAGAAACAUUGUUAAUGAUUUGAUUUAUCCACCGUUUUUAACAACAUAAUUUGUAACUACAACAAAGGAUCGCACACGAU